CGCACGGGUGCGUAACACGUGGGAAUUUGCCUCGGGGUAUGGAAUAACUCAGGGAAACUUGAGGCUAAUACCAUAUAAUGUCUUCGGACCAAAGAUUUAUCGCCCUGAGAUAAGCCCGCGUAGGAUUAGCUAGUUGGUGGGGUAAAAGGGCUUCACCAAGGCGACGAUCCUUAGCUGGUCUGAGAGGAUGAUCAGCCACACUGGGACUGAGACACGGCCCAGACUCCUACGGGAGGCAGCAGUGGGGGAAUAUUGGACAAUGGGCGAAAGCCUGAUCCAGCAAUGCCGCGUGAGUGAUGAAGGCCUUCGGGUUGUAAAGCUCUUUACUCGGGACGAUAAUGACGGUACCGAGAGAAUAAGCCCGGCUAACUCCGUG
rnacentral:rRNA from 1 species